UAAAUUUUCACUAGAUGGAAAAACAAGUUAUAGCGUAACGAACACUUUUAAUCAAUAUUUUCCGCUAUUUUUAUAUGGAGUUUCACCGCGAAAACCGAAUAUAGUACUAACCUUAACUCAUAAAUUUCUCUAAUCAGAUCGUUUUCAUGUGUGGCAAUUUUCUGUACAAAUGUAUUUAGGUGCUUGAACUCAUAUGCACAUAAUGGUUCUAUGUUUGAUAUAUUGUAGAUGACUUUUUUCUCCAGGAUUUCCAACUCUUUGGCCACUGUCGGAAAUACAGUGAACCAGAUCGGAAAGCCUUAUAUCAGCAUGGGUCUAAUUUCCACUUUAUAAAGCAACAAUUUAGUGGACUGCGAUGUCAUUCCUGUAUGAAGCCGAUGUCUAUUUUGUUACUGUGAUGAUUGUCCUUUAGAUCAAUUUGACGACUGGUAUCAAUUAGGGAUCUUAUGUUUUAUGUAAGUUAUUUUAAGAUCCUAUGGACCAUUGUUGCUUUUCUUUUCUUCGUGAACCGAUGAAUAAACGUCUCACACCAGUUGGCCUUCCAAAAUAAUAAACUGAAGUAUGGCUUUAUGUUUGAAAUGAUGAAA